rnacentral:rRNA from 1 species
UACGGAGUGUGCGAGCGUUACUCGGAAUCACUGGGCAUAAAGGGCGCGUAGGCGGGUUUUCAAGUCGGUUGUGAAAUCCCCCAGCUCAACUGGGGAACUGCAUCCGAUACUGUCUGUCUUGAGGACGAGAGGGGAGAGUGGAACUUCUGGUGGAGCGGUGAAAUGCGUAGAUAUCAGAAGGAACGCCGGUGGCGAAAGCGACUCUCUGGCUCGUAUCUGACGCUGAAGCGCGAAAGCUUGGGUAGCAAACGGG